UUGAGGGUUACAACAAGUAUUUGACAUGUAUUUUGACUUAUAAUUUCCUAUUAAUAAAUCUUUGUGUUAAAUUUUCAUUUGGACCGAAGCCUCAUCCUUCUUCAGAGAUUCUGAUACACGGAAAUUCUUAACAUGGGUCAGAGGUUGGCCUUCUAUGGCACUGCGGCGACGAUUAACUCGGCUGCUGCGUUUUUGGAAGCCAUGGUGGAAGACACAGAAACUGGAUAACCAGUCGGUUUAAGGAGCCAGACCAUGAGGGUCUCUGAGAGCGAAGGUGGGUGAAUGAUCGUUCCCCCGGCCUGGGAUAGCACGUCCUGUCCGAGAGGGACUGUCCACGGGUGGUCCUCCAGCAGUUGAAUCAUUUGCGGCAGUCUAAGCAGGGAUGCCCAGACUUCCCUCUC